rnacentral:rRNA from 1 species
GAUGAACGCUGGCGGCGUGCCUAAUACAUGCAAGUCGAGCGAACGGACGAGAAGCUGGCUUCUCUGAUGUUAUCGGCGGACGGGAGAUGAACACGUGGAUGACCUACCUAUAAGACUGGGGUAACUUCGGGAAACCGUAUCUAAGACCGGAUAAUAUUUUGAACCUCAUUGUGCAAGAGUGGAAGACGGUCUUUCGGUCACUUAUAGAUGGAUCCGCCCUGCAUUAGCUAGUUGGUUAGGUGACGGCUUACCAAGGCAACGAUGGAUAACCGCCCCCAGAGGGACAUCCGAUACCCUGGAACUGAGACACGGCACAGACUCCUACGGGAGGCAGCAGCACGGAAUCCUCCGCGAUGGGCGAAAGCCUGACGGAGCAACGCCGGGUGAGUGCUGAAGCUCUUAGGCUCGUAAAACUAUGUUAUUCGGAAAGAUGAUAUGUGUAAGUAACUGUGAACAUAUUGACGGUACCUAAUCAGAAAGCCCCGGCUAACUCCGUG